CGCGAUUGGCUGACGCUAAGCGGCAAAGCACCUGUGAUCCUCUGUUCCCAAUAUGUCUUCCGGGGAUGCUGGGAGUUGUAGUUUCCCAGCAGCUAGAGAGCCUCAGGCGUGCUCACGUUCGCGGUUUUGGGUACACAUCUAAAUGCUGAUGCAGAUCUCUGAUUAUUUAUAAGUACUGCAGCAGAAUUGAUAAAGGUGUUGACGGCACCUGUAAUUCCUGAAAGAUCGCAGGCUGGAUGGAAGACAUCAGUUACAUUCAGAUGAAGCAGAGAUUGCUUUAAAUCAACUUUAUGUUCUAUUUUAAACCUGUAAAGGGCAGAAAAAUUUACAAUACAUUGGCAUG